rnacentral:rRNA from 1 species
UACGUAGGGGGCGAGCGUUGUCCGGAAUUACUGGGCGUAAAGCGCGCGUAGGUGGCUUGCUAAGACCGAUGUGAAAUCUCCGCGCUUACCGUGGAGAGGUCGUUGGUGACUGGCAGGCUUGGGUUCGGCAGAGGUGAGUGGAAUUCCGGGUGGAGCGGUGAAAUGUGUUGAUAUCGGAAGGAACGCCGGUGGCGAAAGCGACACACUGGAUCUUGUCUGACGCUGAGGCACGAAAGCCAGGGGAGCGAACGGG